rnacentral:rRNA from 1 species
UACAGAGGGGGCAAGCGUUAUUCGGAAUUAUUGGGCGUAAAGGGCGCGUAGGCGGGCUCCCAAGUCGGUGGUGAAAUCUUUCGGCCCAACCGGAAAAGUGCCGCCGAUACUGGGAGUCUCGAGGGAGGUAGGGGUCGAUGGAACUUCCGGUGGAGCGGUGAAAUACGUAGAUAUCUGGAGGAACACCGGUGGCGAAGGCGGCGACCUGGUCCUAUACUGACACUCAUACACGAAAGCGUGGGGAUCAAACAGG